UACAGAGGUCACAAGCGUUAUCCGGAUUUAUUGGGCGUAAAGCGUUUCGUAGGUGGGUUUGUAAGUUACCCUUCAAAGACUACGGCUCAACCGGAGGAAGGGGGGUAAUACUGCAAGUCUUGAAAUAUGGUGGGGUAUCUGGAACUGAUGGUGUAGUAGUGAAAUACGUUGAUAUCAUCAGGAACUCCAAGGGCGAAGGCAGGAUACUAACCAUUUUUUGACACUGAGGAACGACAGCUAGGGGA
rnacentral:rRNA from 1 species